rnacentral:tRNA from 1 species
GGGCCUAUAGCUCAGCGGUAGAGCAGCCGGCUCAUAACCGGUCGGUCCCUGGUUCGAAUCCAGGUGGGCCCACCA